rnacentral:rRNA from 1 species
AUUGAACGCUGGCGGCAGGCCUAACACAUGCAAGUCGAACGAGUGGCGGACGGGUGAGUAAUGUUUGGGAAACUGUCUGAUGGAGGGGGAUAACUACUGGAAACGGUAGCUAAUACCGCAUACCAUCAGAUGUUCCCAGAUGGGAUUAGCUUGUUGGUGGGGUAACGGCUCACCAAGGCGACGAUCCCUAGCUGGCCUGAGCGGAUGACGAGCCACACUGGAACUGAGACACGGUCCAGACUCCUACGGGAGGCAGCAGUGGGAAAUAUUGCACAAUGGGCGCAAGCCGGAUGCAGCCAUGCCGCGUGUAUGAAGAAGGCCUUCGGGUUGUAAGGUACUUUCAGCGGGGAGGCGUUACCCGCAGAGGAAGCACCGGCUAACUCCGUGCCAGCAGCCGCGGUAAUUC